AUUCAUCUUCGGGGCAGGGUGAAAUUCCCGACCGGCGGUGAUGAGGCGCUUGGCCUCUCAGCCCGCGAGCCGCAAGGCAGGAUCCGGUGCGAGUCCGGAGCCGACAGUAUAGUCUGGAUGGGAGAAGAUGAAG
rfam:Geobacillus sp. B4113_201601 NODE_7, whole genome shotgun sequence.